GCCUAAAGCGUCCGUAGCCGGCUCUGUUAGUUUUCGGUUAAAUCCAUAUGCUCAACAUAUGGGCCGCCGGGAAUACUACCAAGCUAGGGAGUGGGAGAGGUAGACGGUACUCCGUAGGAAGGGGUAAAAUCCUUUGAUCUAUGGAUGACCACCUGUGGCGAAGGCGGUCUACCAGAACACGUUCGACGGUGAGGGAUGAAAGCUGGGGGAGCAAACCGGAUUAGAUACCCGGGUAGUCCCAGCUGUAAACUAUGCAAACUCAGUGAUGCAUUGGCUUGUGGCCAGUGCAGUGCCGCAGAGAAGUCGUUAAGUUUGCCGCCUGGGAAGUACGUACGCAAGUAUGAAACUUAAAGGAAUUGGCGGGGGAGCACCACAAGGGGUGAAGCCUGCGGUUCAAUUGGAGUCAACGCCAGAAAUCUUACCCGGAGAGACAGCAGAAUGAAGGUCAAGUUGAAGCCUUUACCAGACAAGCUGAGAAGUGGUGCAUGGCCGUCGCCAGCUCGUGCCGUGAGGUGUCCUGUUAAGUCAGGUAACGAGCGAGAUCCUUGCCUCUAGUUGCCACCAUUACUCUCAGGAGUAGUGGGGCGAAUUAGCGGGACUGCCGUAGUUAAUACGGAGGAAGGAGAGGGCCACGGCAGGUCAGUAUGCCCCGAA
rnacentral:rRNA from 1 species